rnacentral:rRNA from 1 species
GACGAACGCUGGCGGCGUGCUUAACACAUGCAAGUCGAACGGAAAGGCCCUGCUUUUGUGGGGUGCUCGAGUGGCGAACGGGUGAGUAACACGUGAGUAACCUGCCCUUGACUUUGGGAUAACUUCAGGAAACUGGGGCUAAUACCGGAUAGGAGCUCCUGCUGCAUGGUGGGGGUUGGAAAGUUUCGGCGGUUGGGGAUGGACUCGCGGCUUAUCAGCUUGUUGGGGGGGUAGUGGCUUACCAAGGCUUUGACGGGUAGCCGGCCUGAGAGGGUGACCGGCGACAUUGGGACUGAGAUACGGCCCAGACGCCUACGGGAGGCAGCAGUGGAGAAUAUUGCACAGUGGGCGGACGCCUGAUGCAGCAACGCCGCGUGCGGGAUGACGGCCUUCGGGUUGUAAACCGCUUUCGCCUGUGACGAAGCGUGAGUGACGGUAAUGGGUAAAGAAGCACCGGCUAACUACGUG